CGGGCAGCAUCCUCAACCACUUAAGCCUGCAUCUAGUCCCCAAAGCAGUAUUGCCCACUCCUGUCGGGGAUAGCCUGAGGUGUGUGUCCCCCUCCAGUGGAUAUACAGCCUGUUGGACAACAUUAUUGAUAAUCGAUUCCAUUAGCUAUAGAACCUCGAAAGAUAUACUUGUAAACCUGUAUUACAAAUAAGCUUCUCAGCUUGUUCCACUAGGCAUGGUAAUAUUUAACGAGGGGCAAACAUUCUUGCCACAGAUAACCCUGCAUGAAUGGGUAGACCGAUACUGUUGUGGCACUUGACAACUCAUUACUACCCGUUUAAGCCUGUUGCUCCUCUGCAAAAUAUGCAAUUAUUCAUAUCAAUGCC